rnacentral:hammerhead_ribozyme from 1 species
ACACUGCUGAGGAGUCCCAUACUAGGACGAAAUGGUCGUCCAGUAC